CGAGAGUAACGUUUCGUGG
rnacentral:miRNA from 1 species